AUCAAAAUCAAAUAAACUCUUAAGUUCAAAUGUUGGCUUCAAUUUGCUGGUAAAUCAAUUAUGCAAGAGAAGUGUGUGUGCUGUGUUACUGUUUUAUAUAAUAUCUAAACUAACUACGUAAUGACAAGAAAACAAGGAGUGCUAAAGUAAAUUCAAGCAUCCCAAAAUUUCUUACAGGGUGAACGUUUCCGAUGUACAGGUUAGCUCCCAUAUCAACACUUCUCAUCUUUAGAUGCUUGAAAAGCAAAACAAGUUGAUUAAACAAAUUAAUCAUAUUUUAGUUACAAUGUUGCAGUGAUUCUUACAAUAACAAUAAAGAUACUAGGAUCUGCAAAAACAUACAAAAUGGUGACAAACUGAAGUACAAAAUGACAUGUAAUUACAUACCUUAUUCAUCGUAUAACCUUCCCAUGCAAUCUAAUCAUAUUUAGAAACUUAACUGCCUGCAGAAAAAAUCGCUUUUGAAAUUGGGGGAAAAAAAAGAAUUGCAUUGUUAAACGCAAUCUAGAACUGCUAUUGAUGCCCACUUUAAAAAAUAUUAAUCACCAUUCAUUAGUUAAAGGGCUCUAUUCAAAGUUCUCUUUCAAUUAAAAUAAGGAAAAUGAAGAAUAUUAGGAGGAUUUAUCAGAAGAAAAAGGAUAAUAGACAGAGAAAUAAAUAGGGUUCUACCUCCUAGACAGAGAAUAAGAU
rnacentral:lncRNA from 1 species